UCCGGUUUGUCACCGGCAGUCUGGCGUGAGUCCCCAACUUAAUGCUGGCAACACGCCACGAGGGUUGCGCUCGUUGCGGGACUUAACCCAACAUCUCACGACACGAGCUGACGACAACCAUGCACCACCUGUGAACCGGCCCCAAAAGGAGAAACCACAUCUCUGCGGCGGUCCGGUCCAUGUCAAGCCCUGGUAAGGUUCUUCGCGUUGCGUCGAAUUAAGCCACAUGCUCCGCCGCUUGUGCGGGUCCCCGUCAAUUCCUUUGAGUUUUAGCCUUGCGGCCGUACUCCCCAGGCGGGGUGCUUAAUGCGUUGGCGACGGCACCGGGGGGGUCGAUACCCCCGACACCUAGCACCCAUCGUUUACGGCGUGGACUAC
rnacentral:misc_RNA from 1 species